CACAACACAUGAUUCAUCAAUUUCCUAGCAUUUCAUUUUACUUGUACAUCUUAUAGCUACAUCGCAUUGAUUCGAAAGUGUACCUGGUAUUAAAAGCAAAAGAAGAGGAAGACGAGAAUCAGCAGAGCAGUAGCAAACAAUAACAACAGUAACAACCAGUACAGUAGUUUUAACGCCUCAACCCAGAAAUCCCAGCAACACGGAGAAAACCAGUAAUAAAAAUAGAAAAGAAAAAUAUUUUGGAAAUCUCUCUUUGUUUUCUCUUUCUAGCUUUUAACUCUCUUCAACUCUCAAAAUAAACUCUCUAAAAUUAAAUUCUGUCCAUGUAUACUGGGUGUAUCCAGAGUGUAUACUUCUGAAAUUCUUCAAAAAUUAAAUUCUGUCAGCGUAUACUGAGUGUAUGAAGAGUGUAUAUCGAGUGUAUACUUAUCUCUCCUCUCCCUUAUUUUUUUCUUCUCCUCCUAUUUUCUCUCUUUUUUGUGUGUUUUUGCAAUUCUCCUCUCCCCUUUUGGAAGUGUGAUUCCGUCUAUAUAUAUCACAACAAACAAUUAUUUCGAAAAUUCAAAAAAUAAUCUUUUUGGUAGAUUUUCUACAAAUUCUGCUCUUAAUUCAAAGAGCAAUACUUUCUCCAUCAAAUCUUGUCAAAAAGAGAGUAUUUCAAACAAAAAUCUGCAGUUUGUUGUUCAAGGAUAGACUUUUGUUCAAAAAUUGUCCAAAAGUCUAUAUUUCUUACCAAACAAAUGACUUUUGAAUUUUAUACUCAAAAAGUCGUAGUAAAUAAACAAACAAACAAAUACCAUAUACUCUUAAGUAUUCACUACUUCACUUUUAUCAGUACAAAACUAUUUUACUAUUUCAACAAGUGCAAAAAUAGAAAAUUUAACCAUUUUUAAAAAUCUGAAAAUAAAAAAUAAAAAAUAAAAAAUAAAAUCAGCCAUGAAAAAGAAUAGUAUUUUACCAUUUUACAACUCAAAUGGCCGAAAAAAUGGUGGUAUUCCAAGAAGGAUGUUUGGAGAGGUCGCUGGAAUUUGGCCGGAUUUUGGUCGCCGAAUUUUAGGUAGAAUUGACAUCAAUAGCUAGGUCUUGAGUAUCUAUCCGUUAAUGUAUGUAUUGUGGGGUGGUAGUGGCCGGAACUUCAAUAACUUGGGCAAAAAAGUGACGGGAAAAUUUCUUAGAUCUAAGAUUGAAGGAGUUUGAGAGUUUUUCUGAAGGAUAUGGCUUGGAGAUAUGGAAAGAGGAGGUGAUGGAGAUUACAUGGUUAAAUUUUGGGGUGGAUUGGAGGUCGGCCGCCGCCGGUGGGUGAUUUUCGGCGGCAGCGAUGGGGCGGCGCCAACAGUCUUAGGAGGGAGAGAAGAGAGAGUGAUGAGAGGGAAAGAAGAGAGAGGAAAU
rnacentral:lncRNA from 1 species